rnacentral:rRNA from 1 species
GGUGAACGCUGGCGGCGUGCCUAAUACAUGCCAGUCGAGCGAACAGACGAGGAGCUUGCUCCUCUGACGUUAGCGGCGGACGGGUGAGUAACACGUGGAUAACCUACCUAUAAGACUGGGAUAACUUCGGGAAACCGGAGCUAAUACCGGAUAAUAUAUUGAACCGCAUGGUUCAAUAGUGAAAGACGGUUUUGCUGUCACUUAUAGAUGGAUCCGCGCCGCAUUAGCUAGUUGGUAAGGUAACGGCUUACCAAGGCAACGAUGCGUAGCCGACCUGAGAGGGUGAUCGGCCACACUGGAACUGAGACACGGUCCAGACUCCUACGGGAGGCAGCAGUAGGGAAUCUUCCGCAAUGGGCGAAAGCUUGACGGAGCAACGCCGCGUGAGUGAUGAAGGUCUUCGGAUCGUAAAACUCUGUUAUUAGGGAAGAACAAAUGUGUAAGUAACUAUGCACGUCUUGACGGUACCUAAUCAGAAAGCCACGGCUAACUACGUG